UCUGCCUAUUAGUGGGGGACAACAUUCCGAAAGGAAUGCUAAUACCGCAUACGUCCUACGGGAGAAAGCAGGGGAUCUUCGGACCUUGCGCUAAUAGAUGAGCCUAAGUCGGAUUACCUAGUUGGUGGGGUAAAGGCCUACCAAGGCGACGAUCUGUAGCGGGUCUGAGAGGAUGAUCCGCCACACUGGGACUGAGACACGGCCCAGACUCCUACGGGAGGCAGCAGUGGGGAAUAUUGGACAAUGGGCGGAAGCCUGAUCCAGCCAUGCCGCGUGUGUGAAGAAGGCCUUUUGGUUGUAAAGCACUUUAAGCGAGGAGGAGGCUACUCUAGUUAAUACCUAGAGAUAGUGGACGUUACUCCCAGAAUAAGCACCGGCUAACUCUGUGCCAGCAGCCGCGGUAAUACAGAGGGUGCGAGCGUUAAUCGGAUUUACUGGGCGUAAAGCGUGCGUAGGCGGCUGAUUAAGUCGGAUGUGAAAUCCCUGAG
rnacentral:rRNA from 1 species